ensembl:lncRNA
UUUUGGGGGGAGGGAAGAGAGCGAUUAAUCAUCCCGGCCCGGCUUCAACGGGUUUCAUACAAGUGCUCCGGGCAGCAUCGUCUGGAUGGAAGGCGAAGCGGUCGUGUUAAUGAAUGGAAUAUUUGUGUGAGAACGGAAGGGGAGUCGGGGGGGAGAGGAGGGGGGAGGCUGCAGGAGGGGAGGAGGAGGUGUGGGAAGUGGAAGGACUGCUGGAAACCGCUUCCACACUUCAAGGGCUUCGGUGACAGGGAAGCUGCUCCGUUCAGCCCCGUCAGCAGGUUUUGUUCACGCGUGUGCGUGUGCGUGCGUGUGCGUGCGUGUGUGUGUGUGUGUGCGUGCGUGUGUGUGUGCGUGGUGCCGGUCCACAGGGAAUAAAAACCCCUGGUGUUGUUGUUCAUUAAAGCGAGGACACUUUCCUUCAUGGGCGCAGGAGGACGAGCGCACGCGCUAUUCGAUACAUUAGCGAUGUGCAGACGGGCCUCGUGUCAGAAUCACGCUACCAGUCACAUUCUCAUCCACCUUUUAGUGGACAUGAUUUAAUAGAUUUAAUUUAGCAUUUGAUGAAGAACGCGCUCAGAUUUAGUUAAUUCUCAUCUGACAUUUUGAUUGGAUUCCACAUGAAUAUGCAUCAAUACGUAUUACAAUUAUUUUCUGUCACUUUAUUUCAGAUUACUCAUUACUCAUUGGAACCUGAAGAAAAACAGGUAAAUUGUAUCUUCACGGGGCCUUUUGAACCCUAAAAAGAAACAGAUCAUCACAGAAUAAAGUGCAUGUAGAUGCGUGAACGUCACCAUCAGCACCAUGGGAGCCCCGGAGAGUUCACAAGUAACCAAAGAACUCAGACCAUGAGUACACGCGUGAAGGACCGUCUCAAACCUUUGUGAUUAAUCGCGGCGCCGCAGGCGAUGCUCUGAGUGCGACGUGAUAAAAAAACCUCCAUCCAACAGCAAUCAAGUCAAGUCGAAUAUUACUGAGAUUAGUGACUGCAAUCGAAUUGUCCAAUUAAAAAACAAUUUAAAAAUCAAUAAACUGCUGCUACUGUGUUUCCUUUUUAAAAGGGAAGGAAUCAAAUCAGUCGGCAUGAAGCGAACAUUUUAAAAACGUUUAAAUCCGUUAGACACAAGCGGCCAGUCGGAUCCCCGCUGCCUGCUACUAAACGAUAGCGAGGGAACCAUGCGAGAGCACUUUGUAACGUUCAGGAGGCACAAUGAAGAAGAGCUGAACGUGAAACCACUCGGGUCGGCGGCACGGUGACGCGGCGGCACGGUGGCACGUGACACGGCGGCACUGUGGCACCCGGCAGCACGGCGCAGCCAUCCCCGGCUGGCACAUCGGACACCCAUUCACUCCGUGACAGGGUGUCACGCCACAUGAUUUAUGACGGGUAAUUACCGUUGUGGAGGUGACAUCAUAUCGUGCAGGCUGCCUCCCGCACGCCGCCAUGCUGUGUGUGUGUGUGUUUGUGACUAAUUAGUUAUGCUGUCUGGAUCCGGCAGCGGGACCGUCUUUGUUUUCCAAAGGGAACGGAAGACGAGGCAUGUCACAACAACGCAUCUCCCCCCAGACGAGCAGCAGCACACAGCGGGCGGCGUGGCGCGCUUAAGGCCCCGGCGUUGCACGCGUCCACAAAAGACCACGUUUCCCUGCUCAGAUGUUCGUCCUCCGUUCACCUCGGCAACAGAGUAGGCGCUCAAGCCAACGGCGGCGAGGGAACAGGUCAUUACGCUGCACCUCAGCGCUGCCGACAGGAUUUGGCGCGACAAAAAUGAGGAAACGGAAAGAUCAUGAACACAAUUUCUCUCUCCUGUACACAUCUGCUGAUUUGCUUGCCGGUUCUAAAUGAAGGCGUUGACGAGAGCCGCACGCUCUCGUGUUGUUUGAGGAGUCGGGAGGCCAACAACCACUGACUGCAGAUAAUGUGCUGCGGUCACUCUGGAAAAAAAAAAAACCCCCAGAAGAAACGAAGGAAGUGGAGAUAAGACCCGAUGCUGUGAGUCACCAGAAAGAGGCUCUGCUUCUGUUUUUCUCUCGAGCAGACUCGUUCCUGCGUGGCCUCGUAGCCACGUAGCUUCAUGUCCAUGUUCAACGUCCACAUGUUCACUUCAAAUUGCUCUUCAGGACGUUGCAGCAAAUCCAAACAGCUCAUUCCUCUCAGAGGUCGCCGUAGAUCAGCGUCGAGAUGCUGUACAUACACAACCCUUUGACCCUCGACCUUGCAAAAGCGACCUUUAGCUGCUCUUCACGCUGCUCUCACGGUUGGAAAAACUGUUUUUUCAGCGAUGGCGAGUUAAACAACGGAGCCACUGCUGCGUUUAAGUUCACAUGAUCAUAAAUACAUAAUGUGUAUGCAGCUGUCCAGAUGGUUUUGUUGGGGUUACAAAGUCGUCACACGGACACAAAUGGGGCCUUGACGAAAUAUUUUCCCCAAGACGUUACGUUACUUCGUUGAUGGAUGAGCCUCGUGUAGAGAAUAUGAUCAGAUAUGUAUGAAUACUGAGCGAUAAAGAGUCUGUUAAAGCAAAACUCCCAGUGAACAGUAAAGAUAAUCUUUAAAAUAGCAUCAUAAAUGUGACUACGAAUUCCAGUCUCAUGGAUCUUGGAAUUAACGGUGAUAUUUUCCUUUGAAGUUCUGAUUAUAUCACAUAAGAAAUGAUGAAUAUCCCAUGUUUCCCUUUAUUAGAGUCUCUGUUUACAGAAAUGGUAGAUAAGAAUUCACAUUCCGUAGGACAGAAAUAUGCGCUUGAGCCUUGAGGUUGAGGAGUUCUUCCUGACUCGUGUCCGGUAUGUUUUUUUAGGCCUCGUCUGCUCUUUCCCGUCCUCUGCUGAUGCAACAUCAAACCCAACCUUCUGCCACCAUCCCAUCAAGCCGCAGACGAGAGUAUAAAAAGAAUAUCAUGCAUGCGAGAUGCUCCUCUUUGCUAAAAGUGUUGUUUGUGCGGUUCUACUCAUCCGGAGGUGGGCGGCCUCUCGCUUUAGGGGAAGAAAAGCAGCUCAGGACGCUAAACCUGCAGGAAACAUGGAGGACUGACUUGAAAGAAAACCGCCUGGCUCAACGGUGAACCCGGCCUGGUCUUUAAUGUUUCCGUAGCCCACCGUCAUCCCCCAAAUAGCACGAGAACAUCUCCCAAAGCCCACCAAAGGCUUUGUCUUCCCGAGGACCCGGCAGGGAGCUCAGAGCCUCAAAACCAAUUCCUAAGAGUUUAGUAAUCAAAGGGAGGUCGUUGCCAGUUCUCCCACCGCCGUGUUUCAUGGAGGAAAAACUCCCAUGUGACAGACGAGAGCGAAACACACCACAACACCUGAACAGUUGGCUCAGGUGUCGGUCCGUCUGCCUCCGUCUGGUAUCAACAUCCUUUCCGACCACCUCCGGCCCCCCAGAGGAGCUGGAAUCCGACCACGGGAGCUGUUUAGCAUAUUUCCUAGUAGUGUGCUUUCGCACCCUGCGGCUUCGUGCUUAAUUGCUGCCUAUAUUUCUCUCUUUCAGGGAGUGAAUCGUCUUGCAGCGACUUGAGUUUAAGACCGAACGAAUCUCCGAUAGGUAACAUUCUGCAGAGAAAACCACAUACCUGCGGUUUCCUUGGAUUCAAAUAUCAAGUUUUGCUUUUUAAAGACCGCCCCCGUCCGUCUGUCCGUGAGAGGUUUUCAGGUUUUACUUCAGCCUGAAACUGACAACAUGAUUUCCUUGUGGAUUGCUGAACUGACCACAGGAGCAGUUCACAGUUUAUUCUGCUCUGGUCCCGAUCACAUGCGUUGGCCUGUCCUUCCAGAAGAAAAGAAGAUCGAUGAUGACGACCGUCCAAGGAGAUGAUGUCGUUUAGGGGGUCAGAGUAGCGGUGACACACUCCUAUCGGGGCAUUUAAAUUCACGCGGCGUGUAGGUCGUCUGCUUUCGGGAUGUCUCACAUCUGUCAGACGCAGAUUACAACUUCAACACGACAUCCGUAACAACAACUGCAGCGUCACCUGACACGACGCGUCCUUCACUGUGCAAAACCAGACUUCCCACUCUGAAAUGUGAGCCCUCAAGAGGAGGCGGAUGGGAGCCGGCGUGUUCUCUCUGUUCAAGCACAACACGCGGUGACUCACGGCUGCUCUCGUCCUGACAAACUGCCUUUGGCACGUUGCUCAACAACGAGAUCUCGGCGUGCAGCACACCGUGUGCCGCGGUAGUCUGACUGCACAGUGGGGCCCCCGAGCCGGGACGUAUUGGCGGAGUGAUGCUGCACGUCUCCCGAGCGCAACAAAAACC